ACAGUUUACCUCCUCCAGAAACUGGAGAAGCAGAACACCUUGCGCCUUCCCCAGUGGAGUCAGGGCUGGGGGUGGCAGUGCUGCUGUGCCCGCCGGGGGAUGUGGCUGAUUCUCUCAAGUCUCCGGCUCACCACCCCCAGGCCUGCCGAUGUAUGUGAAGUGCCUGCACUGGGCCCUGGCCGUCAUGGCCGUGUUCCUGGUGGGCUCCUCCGUGGCCACUGGGGCCUUGGCCUUUACUGCAGGAGGAAGGUGCCGGCGCUGCCCACAAGGCUGGGCUUGGUCCAGGGAGCACUGCUAUUACCUCUGUUCACGAGCACUGGACUGGGAGGCCAGCCGGGACUCUGCUCAGGCCACCACGCGGCCCUGCCCUGCCGAGGAACACCCAGUGUGCCCCAUCUGCAAAGAGGACUUUCAGAACUGCUUCAGAAAGCGGUAAGGAUGAUGGGGUGUGUCUGAGGCAAGGGGGAGGAUUCUGAGGGGAUUCAUAGCAAUGUGUCUUUUACUUUUUUUUUUUUUUUUGGUACCGGGGAUCAAACUCAGGACCUUGCACUUUUGAGGCAGGCACAGUGCCACUGAGCUAAAUCCCCAGCCCUUGGUUUUAUAUUUUGAGAUAAGGUCUCACUAUGUAGUCCAUGCUGGCCUCGAACUCGCGGUGAUCCUCCUGCCUGAGCCUGCUGAGUGCUGGGAUAUAAUACAUUUUUAAAAACUUAAGCAUCACUGUAUUUUUUAACUACACCUCGUGUAUCUGCCUCAUCAGGGGUGAACGCAGGGCAGGCUGGGCAUGAGUAUCUGUCUGCACCAAGGCUCACUGUCACUAAGUGGCUAUGGGACACUGUGACUUUAGCCCUGGUGUAAUCAGUCCCAAAUGUCUGCCUGUAUUUCUGCCAUUCACAUGGUCUCCUGUUACUGCUGACCCCUCGUUGCUCUCACCUGUCCACACUGCCACCCUUUCCUGACCACCCAGGAGUCAGUCACACAGGUGCUGGGCCUGGCUCCUCCAUUCUGUGCCAGGUUCCGCCCAUACAGGAUUGGUGGCUGGUUGAGCAGCCCUAGGAGUCCAUCCAGGUAGCCGACCCACUCUGUCUAGAGUAGUGUAUAGGGCUGAGUCUAUGAACAGGGAGGAUGUAAGUGUCCUUUCUGCUGGAGACAUGCAUGCCACCUAAGAGGGCCCUGUCUCAUACUAUAGUUGACACAAGGCUGGCAAGCAGGCCCUGGCCGCCCUCUUCGUUGGGGAGCCGUUUUUACUAACACUGUGGACCUCUACCUAGAGCCUGUGGUCCCAGGAGGGCCUGCUACAUUGUUAGGAGCUGUUUCUCCACAGGGCAAAGCACUGCUUGGCCCCUAAGCAGCUGUGACCAGCAGCAAUGGGCAGUUGUGGUGACCUUCCUCUGCUAGCAAAUCACUUCCCUUCCUCAGUCACAGUUCAAAUGGCCUGUGGGGUGACCACAUGGAGCACCAUGCUUGUGUCACCGAGGCUUUGGCCUGAGUAAACACUAUUUCUUUAGAGCCUUGUCCCAGUGAGUGCCCUUCUUUGUCAGGUGGUCCAAUGGCCUAAGACGUUGGGCCAAGUCGGAAAUGAAGGUCCUAGCAACUCAACAGACAGCUGUGAUUCUCUGGGGGCUCAACAUGCCUGCAUCUUGUCGGUCACAGUGUGGGCCACACUCACCCAACCAAGACUACCUGAGGGAAUUUCCCUGGACUUCCUGCGGGUUGGCAGCCCACUCUUUGGGUUGUGGGUCCACUAGAACCUUUUGGGUGAUCUUCAGCAAAGACCUGUGAAAGUUAGCAACAUGUCGUCUACAUGGUAUUCCUGGUGCAUACAGAUGUAUCCGUCAACAACGUGGCCAGGACCAAUAGCAGGGUUAGGCCAGCACCUGGGGAAGCACCAGAAAGGCCUGGUGUCGGCCCUCGCAGGGGAAGGCAAACAUGUCCUGGGACUGUAGGUCUAGGGUAGAUGGGCGCUACCUCCAGCAUGGCACGUCACGUACCUAAACAAAUAGUCUUUCCUGUAUUUGAAGCACAUUUGGGACAGCAGGACAGAUAGCCAGAGUUCCCUUAUUCACUUCUCAGAAAUCACCUGUCACCCUCCAGAUGCUGUCAGGCUGUCACACCUGCCACCUUGGGCUGUGGGAUGGGCUCUAUGCAGGACACAGUCCCUGUCCAGUCCUCAACAGUGGCCCCUCUCUCUGCGCCCUCCUGGGAGGUGAUACCGUUGGGUGCCCUCUCAGGCAAGGUAAUGCCACAGGCUCCCCUCUCUUCCCCAGGAGCUAGGCCUGUACCACCUUCACCCACGGUCGCUUCCAGGGUAGUUCCCAGGGCACUAGCCCCAUGUUUGCUGGGACUGGGGAGCUGCAGAGUCACUGUGGGGUGGGGCCAGCUCCCCAGUGGUGCUGGCGGCUCUGAGCAUCUGCGGAGGUGGGAUGUCUGUGUAUGAGAGUGCGUUUGGUCCCCACAGCCUCAGAGCCAGGACCUUGUUUCAGGGGGACCUGCGAGGCCCUUUCUACCCAGGACCAUACACUGCAGAGGACCCUGGCCUUGCUAUCCCCUAGAGGGCUGCACUGCGAACCUUCCAGAGGCAGGCAAGGGUCAGGACUAAUCCUCAUGGUGCUCAAUCACUUUCCAAGUCCAAGGAUAGCUGCAAUGGGCGAUUUCUUAUCUGUGUGACUCUUCCACCAUUUUUUUUCUGUUUCUCUCUGGGUUCCCACAUUUUUGGUUUCUCAUCUUAACUGCACAGGUCACAGUGGGCUUCUCUGUCAGUAAAGGCUGGGGCCAUAUCAUGUGCAGGGGCCAUUGUCAGGGACCUAUGAUGGGGAGCAGUGUACCCUCUCACCCACAUGGGCCAGCCUGAGGAGUGCACGGUGCACCUAGGGUGAAAGGGGUGUUAGCAGGUCCCUGGAAAGCAGCAGCAGGGCUGGCCACCUACAAAUGUAACCUGAGCCUCUUGCCCGUCUCUUAGGGCCUCCCCGAAGUGCCCAGUUUCAUCAUGUCGUUUUGAGAAAAAAGGAUUGUCCUGCCUAGGUAGGGCCACAGCUUGGGGCCAAGGACAGUUUCAGCGACCUGGGUCACAGCCUGAACAGCCGUCAGAGCCUGGG
rnacentral:lncRNA from 1 species